UCCUCCAAGGCUAAAUACUCCUGAUUGACCGAUAGUGAACCAGUACUGUGAAGGAAAGGCGAAAAGAACCCCAGUGAGGGGAGUGAAAUAGAACCUGAAACCGUGUACGUACAAGCAGUGGGAGCCCGAAAGGGUGACUGCGUACCUUUUGUAUAAUGGGUCAGCGACUUAUAUUUUGUAGCGAGGUUAACUGAAUAAGGGAGCCGAAGGGAAACCGAGUCUUAACUGGGCGGUGAGUUGCAAGGUAUAGACCCGAAA
rnacentral:rRNA from 1 species